rnacentral:misc_RNA from 1 species
GAAUUUUUGAAGGUUUUUUUUAUUAUUAUAUUUUUGAAUUUAAUAUGAAUAAAAUUUAGAAGCUUUGAGAAGUCAAAGGAACAAAUCAAUAGCUGGUUCUGGAAGAAGAAAAAGGUGGAAAGAUUAGUUAAUCAUUUAGUUAGUUACAAAUGUUAUUCAGUUAGUUGUUUCUUACUUCAGUGAAAGACUUAUAAGAACCAAUGGAUGCAAUGAUGCUUCAUGCUUUUGAUCUGACUAGUAAAACUGAAUCUCCUGUUCUUUCAUUCUUCAUUUGCAUAAACACUUUCUCACACUUUCUAUCUCUUUCUUGCACACCGAACAUAUACAAAGAUUUAUUGUUAUGAAAAAUUAGAGUAUAAAUCAGUGACUUUUGGCUCCGGGAACUCAAUUUGUUUCUUGGGUUUAUUUAUAAUUUAUAGUUUUUCACAAACAGAAAAAUAAAAAAUAAUAGGGAUUUUUUUUCCGGUUUUUUAGUGGUGAAGCAAACUAAUAAAUAGAUGCGUGUAUGUAUAUACAUAUAUAAAUAUAUGCGUUGGCUAUGAUGAACGCAUGUUUUUGGCUUGCUGUUACGCGAUAGAUUUUUGGACCAUUGUACAGCUGUUUAUAUGUUAGUAUUUUCUUAAUUCUGGUGAUUAUGAAUGGAUGUAAUAUGUUGUUUUUAUUGUCUUUAAUGCUAUUUUGAAAUUAACCCUGGAAGGACUUGCUUGGCAAUGAAAUUUCAUUUUAUUUUCUGAAAUUUGAGGCGUAUAUGUUUGAAGGAUCUCUUUUGGUUAAUUAAAAAAUGAAUGUAUUUGGCUUUCUGCUUAUGAUCACCACUUAGUUGAUUUGAAAAUAGGUUAUUAGCUGUUGUGAAUCAAGAUUUUUUUUAGCCAAUCUAUGAAAAAAUUCAUGUGAUGUGAUUUACUUGCUGUGAAUAAUAAGGUUGUAUUUUGGUUUAUGCAUGAAGAUGAACUAUUGUAAUUUUUUCCCCUAUCCUAAUGAAUUAAAAAUUGCAUAUUUUUAUCCUAUGUUGCUGCUUUAGGUUCACAAUUGCUCAUAUAUGGCCAUGUUAAGGGUUUGACUGUGCCUUGAACUUGAGAUCAGUCUUUUUUGCUAGUUCCCACAUAUUGGUACGUAAUUUGAGUAGCACUGAAGUAGUUCUCAGGAAUUAACUUUUCAAUUUGGAAUUGACAGAUGCUUUAAUACCAGCCUGUGAGUUUUUGAAGUUGUGGUGACCCAGUUGAGAUCUUUGAGGGAUACUUGAAGCAAUUAUUAAAUCAUGGAUACUUUAUUGAAAACACAUAACAAGCUUGAAUUCCUGCCUCAACUUCAUGUGUUCCCAGAGAAAGCGAGUAAUGUGGGCUCUAUGAAGCUUCGAAACCCAGAGCUUAGGUUUUGUCUGCAUAAGUCUUAUAAAAAAAGGGUAAGAAAUGGUUGUGUUAAGGCUACCAGUAGUACUCUUUUGGAGCUUGUACCAGAGACCAAGAAGGAAAAUCUUGAAUUUGACCUGCCUAUGUGUGACCCAUCAAAAGGACUCGUGGUUGACCUUGCAGUUGUGGGUGGUGGCCCUGCAGGGCUUGCAGUUGCACAACAAGUCUCGAAGGCAGGGCUUUCUGUUUGUUUGAUCGACCCAUCUCCCAAAUUGAUUUGGCCUAAUAAUUAUGGUGUUUGGGUGGAUGAAUUUGAGGCCAUGGAUUUGCUUGAUUGUCUUGAUACCACCUGGUCUGGUGCUGUGGUCUACAUUGAUGACAAAACAAAGAAAGAUCUUGGUAGACCGUAUGGUAGGGUUAAUAGGAAGCAGCUAAAGUCAAAAAUGCUACAAAAAUGCCUAUCCAAUGGUGUUAAGUUUCAUCAAGCUAAAGUUGUCAAGGUUGUUCAUGAGGAAUCUGAAUCCUUAUUGAUUUGCAAUGAUGGUGUUACAAUACAUGCUGCUGUGGUGCUUGAUGCAACUGGCUUUUCUAGAUGCCUUGUUCAGUAUGAUAAGCCAUAUAAUCCAGGUUAUCAAGUGGCUUAUGGAAUUUUAGCCGAGGUAGAAGAGCACCCAUUUGACAUAGAUAAGAUGGUUUUUAUGGAUUGGAGAGAUUCACAUUUGGAUAAUAAUUUGGAGGUAAAAGAGAGAAAUAGAAAGAUCCCUACUUUUUUAUAUGCAAUGCCCUUUUCUUCAGGGAGAAUAUUUCUCGAAGAAACUUCUCUAGUUGCUCGGCCUGGAGUACCCAUGGAAGAUAUCCAGGAAAGGAUGGUGGCUAGAUUAAGGCACCUAGGCAUAAAAGUGAAAAGUAUUGAAGAAGACGAGCGUUGUGUCAUCCCAAUGGGUGGUCCCCUUCCCGUCCUGCCUCAAAGAGUUGUUGGAAUUGGUGGUACAGCUGGCAUGGUUCACCCUUCAACUGGGUAUAUGGUAGCGAGAACUCUAGCUGCAGCUCCAAUAGUUGCCAAUUCCAUAGUCCAGUACCUUGGUUCUGGUAGAGGCCUCUCAGGGAAUGAAUUGGCAGCAGAAGUUUGGAAAGAUUUAUGGCCCAUACAGAGGAGGAGACAAAGGGAGUUCUUCUGUUUUGGAAUGGAUAUUCUGUUGAAGCUUGAUUUACAAGCCACAAGAAGGUUUUUUGAUGCAUUCUUUGACCUGGAACCUCAUUAUUGGCAUGGUUUUUUGUCGUCUCGACUAUUUCUCCCUGAGCUUAUAUUUUUUGGUCUUUCAUUGUUUUCCCAUGCUUCUAAUACUUCCAGGAUAGAGAUUAUGACAAAGGGUACUCUUCCUUUGGUUUACAUGAUCAACAAUUUAGUACAAGAUAGAGAAUAGAUGGCUAGGAUUCCAUUUGUUGUCUUCUAAUUUUGUUGAAAACUGCAUCUUGAAAAUUUAUAUGCUGUUGUUGCCCUUAAUUGUUGAUAGAAAACAAAUCACUUCUUGUAUUGUUAUCUUAAUUACAGGUUUGAGAAUAUUGGUUGCUAUCUAUCUUUUCCACAUUGCUGUUUGGCUUAGCAUCCGUAAAAUGAAAAUUGAUGCUUUUGAAGAUGUAUGAUAUGAUUCAAAUAAAUUCAAAAGAGAGGUUUAAUUGAAUCCACACUUUCAUCUAUUAUAUUCAAAAUAAUACAAUUUAUUCACCUUUCGAGAAGGUACAUAUAUUGAGCCAGCCUACAUAAUUUUAAAACAUCAAACUAUAUAAUAAAUGAAAAUAAGAAAAGUUCUUUACCCUCAUUUAUUAUGCUAACAAGUUGACAUCUGUCUCAGCCAAGAUGAAAACAAUGGAAAUGUCAUUAUUCAGGCAAUGGGAAUUGCCCAGUAUCCACAGAAGCACCUUUCGCUAACAACUUUUAGAAGGGAGUGAGAAAUAAGCCUGAACAGCAGAGAAAAAAAGUCCAAGCAAGGCACCAAGAAAAGCUAGGAAAGUCCAGGGACUACUGAAA